ACAGUUUUCACCAAGAGUAUGGCACUGCACAUUCUACAGCUUAAAGCCUUUGAAGAAAGCACCAGCACUUUCAAGACAAUGGCUGUUUAUGUAAGAUGAAAUCCAAAAUCUCCACACAUUCUCACUCAAGAAGUAUAGUGCAUUUAAAAGUUUUGCAUAUAACCUGCAAAAGUCAACUUGCUGUGCAAGCCAAGGGUUGGCCAUCCCUCAUGUGCGCAUGACUAAUGUGCUUUUUGGUGAUAAUUGUGAUUCAGACUAUUCAAGCCCUCCAUGAUGGCAAUAAACAACCAUGUGUGGAGUGCCUUCUGAAUUCAUCUUAGGUAUGAUGGAAGAUAACAGUUUAUUUUCACAUUCUUUGUUCAAUGAUGAGGCUACGUUCCAUUUAAGUCAAAAAGUGAACCACCAUCACAAAGGAGCACCACUACACUGGCACCAUCUUGUAAGAGUAUUUCAUCGUCCCACAUGCUUCCCCUUCCAACAUCUUUGGGUGAACUACGACGCCACAUAGCAGAAUCAGUGAAUGCAGUAAAUCGAGACAUAUACAUAAAGUAAAGAAUUUGUUUAUCAGCUGGAUGCUUUUCAUGCAUCAGGUGGAGGGCACACUGGAAUUUAUGAAAACUGCUGAUGUGAGAGGGAUGGAAAAUGUUUCUAAAAGAAGAAUAUGGGAGUUAUUGCUGGGAUCUGCACACCAUUUUACACAGAACUUUAUUUGCCAUGGCGGUAAUUAAGGUGUUUACAAUGAGAAUGUUCAAGAAAGAAUUUUAAAUUCACCUUCUACAAUUUUUAGUGAUACAACAGUAUCAAACAGUUAACGGUAAUUAUUCUACCUUAUCUCUUCUGGAGUGUGGAUUCCCUAUAAACCAAGUUGAGUGCAUGUGACCCAGCUCAAAUCUCAAUUCCAUACAGUGGAUGUUAACACACAAUUCUCCGUGUAAAGGCCAAGAAGGAUGUCUUGUUUCCUCUUCACUAAUCCCUAAUCAAACAACUGUGUUGUCUGUGAACUUUGUGAUUGUAGCAUGUGGAACAGCUCUUUUCAGUUAAUUUCAAUUAUGGAAAGUGUGGUAAGAUAUAAUAAUAGGGAAAUAAUUAAAAAAUA